rnacentral:lncRNA from 1 species
CCUUUAUUAAAAGGUGACAUAAAUAUUUGGAAUUUCUUAAAAUCUAAAAACACAACCCAUGUUUUACAAAUUUCUCUUCAGCGAUGGUGUUUAUCUGCUCAACCAUUUCAGUUGUGAGAUGAUUUUUCCAAUCUCCAAUAUUACCAAGACGGAAAAAAGCUUUAUUUUCCAUAUUAAGAAAACCUUUCCCGAUCUUAUUGACCUCCAAAUUGCUCAACUUCUCAAAACUACACAAAUUUAAUAUAUCAUCAACCACACCUUUGAAUUCUUCUUCUUUGGAGAAUGGACACUCCAAAAACUCAGCAAGCUCUUUCAAAUAAAAAUUAGGUUUCAUUUUCAUUUCUUCAUAUUUCAAAAACAUCACCUUCUCUGGCCUUUCCAAGCUUUUCUUCCAAUAUACCAAUACAUGCUCCCAAAAGGGUCCAAAAGAACUCACUCCUCUACAAAAAUUCUCAAAAGCCUCUUGUAGUGGAAGUGUUCCUCUACUUUGUGCUCUAAGGUUGUUUGUGAAAUGCCAAAGUGAAACAAAAGUGUCUUUAGGAUCUCUACAUAGAUACACCACCUUGCAAGUUGACUCUUUCACAGAUUUCGGCAAUAAUUCAUAAGAAAGAUGUGUAGAGAAGAGUCUCGAAGAAGAUAAUGUUUUGACGUCAAGAAACAAAAUCUUUGUAGUAAAGAUCAGACUCCAAAAAGGGAACAAGACCAUGAGGAUUGGUAGUGAGCAAUGGAUGGUUGUUCUUAGUAUGAUCAAUAAUUGAAUAUUUGUCGCGAUUUAGCAAAGCAAAAAGUCAAUGCUUUAAGCCAAGUGGUGCCUGCUUUUGGAGUGGUAACUAUGAGGAUAUCAGUAUCAAGGGCUUGAAAUUGCUUAUGACAAGAUAAAGUACCUUGGAGAAUCCUUGUGGUAAGCCAAAAUCCUUGAUAUUGAUGGAAGUGGGAUGUAAUCCAACCUUUUUCUAAUGGCAAGGUGGGUAUCAACUCCUUACAUUCUUGGCCUAACUCAGCUGCUUGCAUGUAUUUUGGCACAGGAGAGUUUUCAGGAUCACUUAAUUUUGCCAUUAUAUAGAUGUAUAGUCAAGGCUUAAUAUGGAAGGUUGGAGAAUGGAGAUAGAACGGUUUAGUCUUUUUUUGGUUGAUUAAAAUCCUAGAAGUUGAUUCAUUCCUAUAGAUAUAGUGAUAAUUUAUAAAUAAAAAUAAUAUAAUUUUGGGAUGAUCUGUAGCUGUAUGUCAGACUGCAUGUGAUAUUUAUUCAAUGAAACCAAGUCCCACCCACUGCCGUCGGGCCG